rnacentral:misc_RNA from 1 species
GAAAAAAUGAGUUUUUUUUUUUUUUUUCACUUGCCCCAAUGAUAAUAUUUCUCAAGCUAACCCCUUUUCGCACCCCUUUUUGUUAGUUCUUUUCUUUCCUUCCACCCAUACGGUAAUGUUAAUUCUUUUUUCCCUUCCACCCGUAUGGUAAAAAGCUCAUUUUUAUCCCAGGCGCUAAAAUCUGAGCUAUGUCGGAACGUCUCAAAACUUGCAAGGAGACUGAACCAUCGGAGUGUGAUCGUAAUGCAACAAUUCUAUUAUUGUUAAUAUUUUCCAAGGAAGAUUGAAGACUCCAGGUUGCGCCACAACCAUAAUGCAAUAUAUCCAGAAUCUCUUGCAGUUUAAUUGGAAGGUCCAAGUCUCACACAUCUAUAGCUAAAUUCCCAGGUGACUGACGCGCAGAUUUCUCCAGUUCUCUCCUCAAGGCUAUCAUUUUCUCCAAGUUCCUCCAGCGAGCAUCCUGCCUUGGCUCCAACAUGAUCUUUGUGGUGUUACCUAUCCUCGUAGCUUAUGUGGAUAUAUAACUUAUUAUAUUAAAAUAUGAUAAUAUUUUAAAAUUGAACAAUAAUUUAUAGAAAAAAGGGAAAUUUUCAAGUAAUUAUCUGAUUAUGUUAUAUAUACGGCUGAAAGAAGCAAUAUUAUACGCCAGCUAGAUCAAGCAAUCAGGGCCGUUCAGAUCUUUACACAUCUCAUCUCCCUUAGCUACUCCACCCUAGAUCACUCGAU